UAUGAAUUCGUUGGGUUAUUGCCAUGGAGAGAAUUUGUAAAACAGAGGAGUACAGAACAAUGGCUGAAACUUCAUCAUGAACAAAGUCAGCGAGUGAAGAAGAGAAAAUAUCAUCACAAAUUAUCAAGAAAGGGUUAUAUUGGACUAGAGGAGGAAUUGAGAGAGACUUAGCCUGAAGGAGAGGUAAUUGAUCGUGCAGUGUUAUGGAAGAAAACUCGUGUACCUAAAAAUGGGAAGAUAGAUGAAGAGGUGACACCAAUAGCAUCAAAAAUUGAUGAAUUGCUAGAGAAGAAGAGUAAGGGUGAGCUAGACAUCUCAGGAAGUGAUGAUGUAUUGACUCAAGCACUAGAAACUCCUGAACACCCGGGUAGGGUGAGGGGUGUUGGAGGUUUUGUCAAUCCAACCACAUACUUUAAUCUUCCGAAGCAGAGAAGGGUUACAAUUACUAAAGCAGAAUUAUUGGCCCGUGAUAGAGAACGAGAUAGGGAGUUGCAAGAGACAAAGAAAUUGCUUUAUGAACAACAAGCAAAGACAGA